rnacentral:rRNA from 1 species
UACGUAGGGUGCGAGCGUUACUCGGAAUUACUGGGCGUAAAGCGUGCGCAGGCGGUUUUGCAAGCCGGAUGUGAAAUCCCCGGGCUUAACCUGGGAAUGGCAUUUGGGACUGCAAGGCUGGAGUGCGGCAGAGGAGACUGGAAUUCCUGGUGUAGCAGUGAAAUGCGUAGAUAUCAGGAGGAACACCGGUGGCGAAGGCGGGUCUCUGGGCCGAUACUGACGCUGAGGAGCGAAAGCGUGGGGAGCGAACAGG